GGGGUCAGUAGGUUGGUCGUGCCACCGGUACGUACUGGUCUCACUGAUUCCUCCUUCCUGAAGAACCGUAAUGCCAUUAAUUUGGUGUUGCGGGGAAACAGGACUGUUACUUUGAAAAAAUUAGAGUGUUUAAGGCAAGCUAACGCUUGAAUACAUUAGCAUGGAAUAAUGAAAUAGGACGAUCGAUCCUAUUUUGUUGGUUUCUAGGAUUGACGUA
rnacentral:rRNA from 1 species